rnacentral:rRNA from 1 species
UACGUAGGGUGCAAGCGUUGUCCGGAAUUAUUGGGCGUAAAGAGCUCGUAGGCGGUCUGUCGCGUCUGCUGUGAAAACUCAGGGCUUAACCCUGAGCUUGCAGUGGGUACGGGGCAGACUAGAGUGCGGUAGGGGAGACUGGAAUUCCUGGUGUAGCGGUGAAAUGCGCAGAUAUCAGGAGGAACACCGGUGGGCGAAGGCGGGUCUCGUGG